UGCAAGUCGAACGGCAGCACGGAGCUUGCUCUGGUGGCGAGUGGCGAACGGGUGAGUAAUAUAUCGGAACGUACCCUGGAGUGGGGGAUAACGUAGCGAAAGUUACGCUAAUACCGCAUACGAUCUAAGGAUGAAAGUGGGGGAUCGCAAGACCUCAUGCUCGUGGAGCGGCCGAUAUCUGAUUAGCUAGUUGGUAGGGUAAAAGCCUACCAAGGCAUCGAUCAGUAGCUGGUCUGAGAGGACGACCAGCCACACUGGAACUGAGACACGGUCCAGACUCCUACGGGAGGCAGCAGUGGGGAAUUUUGGACAAUGGGCGCAAGCCUGAUCCAGCAAUGCCGCGUGAGUGAAGAAGGCCUUCGGGUUGUAAAGCUCUUUUGUCAGGGAAGAAACGGUGAGGGCUAAUAUCCCUUGCUAAUGACGGUACCUGAAGAAUAAGCACCGGCUAACUACGUGCCAGCAGCCGCGGUAAUACGUAGGGUGCAAGCGUUAAUCGGAAUUACUGGACGUAAAGCGUGCGCAGGCGGUUUUGUAAGUCUGAUGUGAAAUCCCCGGGCUCAACCUGGGAAUUGCAUUGGAGACUGCAAGGCUAGAAUCUGGCAGAGGGGGGUAGAAUUCCACGUGUAGCAGUGAAAUGCGUAGAUAUGUGGAGGAACACCGAUGGCGAAGGCAGCCCCCUGGGUCAAGAUUGACGCUCAUGCACGAAAGCGUGGGGAGCAAACAGGAUUAGAUACCCUGGUAGUCCACGCCCUAAACGAUGUCUACUAGUUGUCGGGUCUUAAUUGACUUGGUAACGCAGCUAACGCGUGAAGUAGA
rnacentral:rRNA from 1 species